GCAGUCGCCGCGGGAAUACGUAGGUGGCAAGCGUUGUCCGGAAUUAUUGGGCGUAAAGGGCUCGCAGGCGGUUUCUUAAGUCUGAUGUGAAAGCCCCCGGCUCAACCGGGGAGGGUCAUUGGAAACUGGGAAACUUGAGUGCAGAAGAGGAGAGUGGAAUUCCACGUGUAGCGGUGAAAUGCGUAGAGAUGUGGAGGAACACCAGUGGCGAAGGCGACUCUCUGGUCUGUAACUGACGCUGAGGAGCGAAAGCGUGGGGAGCAAACAGGAUUAGAUACCCCCGUAGUCCCUGUCUCUUAUAC
rnacentral:rRNA from 1 species